GUUCAGAAGUAGUUCUCAAAUAUAAAUAUUUUGCAAAGAUGGUUGAUGCAUAGUCAUUGAUAGCACCAAAAACAACUCUACUCACUAUAUAGGUAGGAUGAGUCGAGAUCGUAUCCUCAGGGACCUUGGGCUAAGUUGAGAUUACAAAAUAAAAGAAAGAAGCAUUGUUUUGAUUUAGAAAAUAAAUUAUCUUAAAAUUGAUGUAAUUAGAAAAUAAAGAGCUCGGG
rnacentral:lncRNA from 1 species